rnacentral:pre_miRNA from 2 species
CCUCUUUCCCUGUUGCACUACUGUCACGGUCGCAGCGAGCAGUGCAAUAAUGAAAGGGCGU